CAACGAGCCCUGGAGACUGAAGGCUUCUAUUUCACCAGGCCAGGCUCUCCCCCACCAGUUUACCUCAACCAUGACCUGAAGGGCCACUUGUAGAGCAGAGCAGGGAUUUCAGUCUCUUAGCCCUUGGUCUGUCUGACUGAG
ensembl:misc_RNA